UGCUGCAGAAAGAAAACAUUGCAACACGCCUUAAGGUCAAGACAGAGCUUGCUGCUCUGCCUCUAGUUGUCCCUUCUUGUGCAGUACUUGAUUCUACGUUACAGGCUAGAUUAGACUCUCCAGAGGUGUGUGUUUGUCACUGUGAAAGAGCAGAGGUCUUGUAUCCUGGCAGAGAGGGGAAGGAUAUUAAUAGACCUCUGAGGAAUUCAAAGGCACACGAAUCAAGAUCGGCAGAUGGGUAUUUGAACUAAUGUACAAAUAAGAGGUGAAGGCUCUUUUUUCAUGCUGGUACUUACUUCUGGUCCGCCAUGCUUGUGCCGGAAUUCACUUCCCUCCGUGCAGUGCUUGGAUUAGUCGACUUCUGAUUUCUCUUUGUGCUGUGGGAGAAGAUGAGAGAGCAGGUGAGCAAUGCAAGAGGAAGACAGCCUCCCAACAAAAGGUAGCAGCACGAAUCUCAGCCGGUCUGACUGACAUCUCUAAGUUGAUAUCCACACACCACCUGAAAAUCAACCUUGACAAGACCAAACUACUUUUCCUUCCAGGGAAAGUCUCUCCCACCCAUGACCUGACUAAUACCUUUGACAACUCCGUGGUAGCCCCAACCCAGACUGGUAGGAACCUGGGUGUGACACUCAACAGCCAACUCUCCUUUACUGCCAACAUUACUGCAACAACACGUUCCUGUAGAUACAUGCUGCACAACUUCAGGACAAUACGUCCCCUUCUGACUCAGAAGGCGGUGCAGGUUCUGCUCCCGGCUCUGGUCAUCUCACGCCUAGACUAUUACAACUGGCUGGUCCACCUGCUAGUGCCAUCCGACCUCUGCAGCUCUCAUUUACAUAUAGAGCUUUGUAGUUUGACUUUCUUGAAGCAAAUUGUACUAACUUGAUUCCUGUCGUUCUGGGUUGGUACCCUCUUGGUUGAAUGCACUUAUUGUAAGCUGCUUGGAUAAAAGCCUCAGCUAAAUGAAAAUUAAUGUAAUGUAAUGUAAUGACAUGGUGAUAAUUUACAUAUCCAUUGUCAACUGAAUUAUUCUGUCAUACAAGUGGAGUAAAAUAUAGGUUAUUACCCUGGCAAAUAUUAAAAUCUGCUUUGUGUGUUUAUGUGAUGUAGUUUUCUGAUGUUGUUGGGUUCACCUUUAUAAAGUCACUGAUGUUGGUUAUUGA